UGAAGUUUUAUCUUUCAGCAGCAGAAUUAACCUUUUUAGUAAAAUCAUUCUCUUUUAAUCUCAAUGUAUCCUAUUUUGCAUUGCUUUGCCUCAUAUGAGCACUGCUUUGCUAGCCUCUUUCCAAGGUUCAGGGAUAACAAGACACAGGUGGUCACAGCUAAUUCCUACUUGAAACACCUUCCUGAUCACACCCUUUUGGUUGGAAGGUAUAAAUUACUGUGGUGCUCAGCUUUGUUGGUAAGAAGGGGUUUUGGAUUGUGUGUGUUUUGUACUGGAAGUCUCUGGCGUCUAUGGAUCCACAUGUUGUUACUCUAAUGCUCUCUGACCACACUGAUGUUGUCAAAACUAUCUAACUCUCAAAGGCUACAGAGAAAAUACUGCAGAACUGAGAAUGUGAGUUGGGGAUGCUAUGUCAGUGGUGUUCUGACAGUGUUUUAACAAGGGGAUCUACAAAACAGCUCUUUUCUAGCAGCAGUGAAACCACUAGGGAAACUUGUGGGUAUGUGCCAAGAGGAGAGAGAAAGGUUGAGAUUCAUGGUCAAAAAAUACGGACAUGUGAACUCUGUGACCAUCACUGAAGCACAUGGUCUUUCUUUUCAGCGUCAGCUAAUUGGCUUUUUUAAACUUGGAUCUACCGGUGAAGGGCAGUAUAUUCACACAUGUGGAAAAUGAAAGAGGAAGAAAGAAAAUUGCCCCAGUGAGUUUCCCCAUUUCAUACCCCUAUUAGUCUUGUAAGAGGUCUCUUGAUGUCACAGGAAUGAAGCUACUCGGGACAUUUUCCACCCACCCAGGAGGCAGGAAGUCCAGUGUGCAAGGAUUACAUUGCUUUCUUAUGUACUGCAUUCUUGGAUUACUUUAUGAUUUUGUUCUUGCUAAAGCAAGAAAUUUGAAUGCUUAUAGAGGUAGAGAAACCAGCACAGAAUAAACAGUCGCAGACAUGAAGAGGCUAUGGCAUUCACACCACUGCAUGUCCCCAGACACUGUCUUUCACCCAUGCUUACGAGGAGGCAGCUCGCAUCCAUGAUUAUUCUAACAUUGGCUUCAUCCCUGCAAAUUCUAUUUGCUGUGACACAGUAAGAGGCUGAAAAGGGCAAGAGGGGCUCCUUCACCAUGGACCAGGAGCCACUUCUGUACCAGAAUGACUGUGAGCUGGCAGCUGCAGGCUGUUUCCAAUCCAGGCUCUGCUGGAGAGCCGCUUUGCCGCCUCUUGCAGCCUUAGGGCAAACUUGUGUGAUUGCUUCAGCUCACCUAGCAGAACGCUGCUGCAGUACAGCCUUUCCUGGUUCUUUCCAUGUCUGCUGCUGGCUCCCAACCAUGUGCACUAAGCUGGUGCUGUGGAGCUCAUCAGCCUCUCAUGAAACUAUGGGUGCUGGCUAAUGUGCAAGGAGGUGCAAUAUUUCCAGCAUCCAGGACUUGGAGAAAAGCAAAGUCUCAUGUUUUGGCCCUGGGUCCCAGAAGUCCUUUGACUCUGAGCAAUUGCCUGGGCCACGGAGGAGCCCCAGGGUGGUAGCACAGCACUGACUUGGGUACAUGUGCCUUGGGAAUGGGCACAGCUGACCAGGGAUGUCUGAUUCACCCAAAAACAUGAACUGGGUAUAGGGAGAAAUGACAAAAGGGAAGUAGACUGAAGAAUUGACUGUGCAUUAGGAAUCUUUGUGGAGUUCGUUAAUUUUGAGAUGAAUUGAGAGCAUUAGUCUUGCAAGUGAGAUCACCCUCAAUAUGAGUCUAACUGGAAUUUAUCUAUCAGAAAGUGGAAUGAAACUAUUCAAACUUUCUAUGAAGCUACUUGUUAAAGAUCACUGGCUUUCAGUUGCAGUAGAUUAAGGUUGGCAGUGAAUUUCUGAUUCAUAACUAAAAAGACAUCAUUGUCAUCUUCUAUGCUGGAAAUUCUUAAUACAAUUUCUUUCAUUUUUAAGUCAUUUGCCUAAAUAGAGAAGAAGACUGACCUUGCAAUUAGAGCACAUGGCAGAAACAAAUCUCGUGUUUGUAUUGCUAUAGUCGGGUAACUUGAUCAGUAUGUUAAUUUCUCAGUAUUAAAUGCCAUGGUAAUCCACA